rnacentral:snRNA from 1 species
GAGAAUUUACGUAUUGUUGACGGC